CGCCGGGCGCCGCGCUCCGCCCCUCCCCGGGGACCCGCGCCCCCGGCCAAGGUCACCACCGCCCUGCGCCCCCGCGCCCGCGCGCGCAGCCCAGCCCAGACCCCACCCCGCGCCCCCAGCACCGGACCCCACCCUGCGCCCCCAGCCCUGGACCCCAGCUCGCUCCCCCUCCUCCCCGCCAAGCCCCCAGAGCGUGCAGCCCCGCCCGGACUCCCUCCCGCGCACACCCGGGAAAGCGUUAGGAUGCCAGGAUGCCAGGGUGCAAAGCAGGUGGGGUCUGCUGCUUCUGGACCCCUGAGUGGGAGCGGGCGCGCUCAGGGUCACUCGGAAAACCAGCUCACAGGAUGCCAUCAGCCCUGCCUUCCUGAAGACCCACCAGGAGGAGCAGAGGCUCAUCUCAGAGGAGACCAGACCUUGGAGGGCAGCGGCCAGGCCAGGGUGGGUGGUCACCCAGCAGCCUUCUUCCAUCCUGGCAUUCAACCCCCAGCCUUCAACACAAGCCUCGCCUCCUCCAACGCCGGUCCUAUCUCCCUUUGCCUCCGUGUCCAGGUCCAGCUUCUCUGCCUGGCAUUCAGAUCAAGCAGGGGAACCCAGUUGUCUCCAUCCAGCUGUUGCCGGUGCUGUGAGCCCGUGUGGGCAGACUUGGCUGGAUCACACUCUGGGGUGAAGCUGUACUGGGCAGUGUAGGGUGCUGAGCAGCAUCCCUGCCCCCCAGUCCCUACUUAAUGCCAGCAGCAUCCUUCUGUGAUGACCCAUGUGCCCACACAUGGCCCAGAGUACCUGGGGGCAGAACCACCUAGAUUGAAAUCCAGAGUUCACUGAGACCGCUGAGGAGGAAUCUGUGUCCAGGGCCACGUGACGUCCCCUUGAUGUCAAAAGUUGCAGAAAUGGAUGAAGCCUUUUGGGGCCAAUGUCCUGUUCUGUGUUAAGUGCUGGUCCAGGGCCUCAGGUGAUAACCAACCUG